GGCAGGGGAUUCACAAGUGGGACUCUUUAUCCUAGAAUCUAGAUGUGGAAAUUGUUACCAUUCUCUCUAAACUCCACCCCACAGUUACCUGACAACAACCAAAACUAACAGAACUGCACAGAGAGAUACAUAGUAAAGACAACCAGGGGUGGCCACCAUGCAUUAAUACACCUGAAGAGACCAUCAGGAUCCCAGACAUAAGUCUUCACCACUGCGUCUCACUUGCACUCUAAACAGGAGGUGCUUUAACCAGACUUAGCUCCAGCAGUGAGAAACCAGUUAGGUUCCUGAUACAUCCUAAGUAUGAAACCAUCACAACACUUUAUGAGCUUGGCUGAAAUGAUACUUCUUGGUUUUCUUGAUGAUGCUUGACCAUCCUUCUUAGUUAUUAUGCUUACCAGAACGUGCAAAGCCCUCACAAAGUGGAUUCCACGUUCCUUCGCCGGGAAUGGCUG